UACGUAGGUGGCAAGCGUUGUCCGGAUUUACUGGGCGUAAAGAGCGCGCAGGCGGUCGGCCAAGUCGAGUGUGAAAGCCCCCGGCUCAACUGGGGAGGGUCAUUCGAUACUGGUCGACUCGAAGGCAGGAGAGGGAAGCGGAAUUCCCGGUGUAGUGGUGAAAUGCGUAGAUAUCGGGAGGAACACCAGUGGCGAAGGCGGCUUCCUGGCCUGUUCUUGACGCUGAG
rnacentral:rRNA from 1 species